GGGAUUCUUGUUUUCUUGAUCAUCCAUGGCGCGGCUGCGGCGUGGUCUCGAACACCUGGAGCGGCGGUACGCGUUCUACGCGGCGUACCACUCCAACCCGGCGAACGUGCUCGUCCACGCCGUGUGCGUGUGGCCCAUCCUCCUCACCGCGAUGCUCCCGCUCCGGUACGCGCCGCCGCUGCCGCUGCUCCGAUUCUACUGCCCGCUCUGCCGCCAGUACCUCCCCGUGCAGCUCGGCUUCCCCGUCGCCGUCGCGCUGGGCGCGUACUACGCGCUCAUGGACCG
rnacentral:misc_RNA from 1 species